rnacentral:lncRNA from 1 species
CAAAACGUAAACGAAACUACUAAAUUCCAACAGCUAGCCGUGUCUGACAAUUACGAGACAUGUACCGAAUGUGACCCGCUGACUGCACAGCUAAAUUUCGUAAGAUUUCUCGGCGCGCGUUCAAGUCCCCAAACGGGCCCAUCGAGUUAGUCAGGGCAGGGAUUUCGGGACCACUUUGCAGGCAUGAGUUUGUCGAUCAGUUUCUAUCGCGGCGCGUCGUUCGCGGUACCUACAUACGAAAUGCCUUUCGACGAAUCGCUGUCGCGACAAAUAUUCGAGAACACAAAUUUAAGGAGGAGAUUUUAUCUCGGAUCUCCCGAAUCAGUGUCGACGCUCGUAUUUCACGUUACGCAAACAAAAUUUACCUGCAGAACUGCAGUCAACGACUUGUUAUACCUGUUUCGAGUAAAGCCAAACUUCGGACGCUGGAGUUACGAGGUUGAAAUUGAAAACUUGACCCGACGCAAUAUUGACAAAAGACAUACUGUGUCCGGUAUGGUAAAUUACACGUUAUUGACCGUGUAGGCAACCGCGUGGGCUCCGUUCAACCGUAAAUCACGAUCAAGCAUAACUGCGUCCAUGGAAUUUCAACAAGUUCCAUCGCGUUCACACGGAACCGUGGCGACACGAUGCGAUGGAUGGAAAAAAGCGCGGGUAUUUCAAGAAGCCGAGUGGCGCGCGUCGCUUUGCGAACCGCGCGAUUCGAACGGGCUGAAAACGAAGACGCGUACUGAAACCGCACCUCACUGUUUGUUUCACAGGUAUUAACAGAUCCAGCGAUAACGCGUACAGCACGAAAUAUGUAUGUAUAUAAAGUGUACGUUGAAUUGAAAUAAAAGAAACUUGUUCUAUAUAAAUAUUAUAUUU